rnacentral:tRNA from 1 species
GCCCGGAUGGCGGAAUUGGCAGACGCGCAUGAUUCAGGUUCAUGUGUCCGCAAGGACAUGCAGGUUCGACCCCUGUUCCGGGCACAA